CUUGAGGCAGCUGGAGUAAAAUUUCAUAUGAAAAUCAUGAAAGAUACUAGCUGUUUGAUAUGGAGCCGUGAGGUGAACAAUGAUGAUUCUCAAAUAAAAAAAGCAAGGAGGAUGAAAUUGCCCAUUGUUAGGGAAGAUUACCUUCAUGGAUGCAUUAGAAAGAUGAAGAAGCUUCCUUUUGAUUCGUACAAGAUUGAGGUUGCUUCAGAAACCUCAAGAAGUGGUGUU